GUGAGAAGGGUGUAUAGAAGUUUCUGUAAGAAAAUACAAUUCAUGAAGGGAAUUAUGUAAAAUAGGACUUUUGUAGGCAAUGGAUUAGUCUGUGAAGGUCAGAGGUCAACCGUGGAAACCCAGGUUAUGUUUUCUAAGUGAGGGGAUGAUGUAGGAUAAUCAUAUGGUAAUCAAACUCAAGAUUUUGCCCAAGUAAGUGAGGUGGAAUUAAGACUUCUAAAGACUAUUAAGACUUCUAAAUAACAAUACAUGAUUUAUUAUCUUGCCUGUAAACCCAGUGGCUCAAACUGUGGGCUGGAUAAUCCCCUUGCGAAGCCCAUCCCCCUGACCUCUGACCCUGAUGUCCUGACUCUACCUCCAAAUUCCACAAUAGAGUCUUUGGCAACACAGGAACCUGUGAACAAUGACCUCAGAGAUGUCUUUCUCACCCCCCAAACACCCCUCUUUCCAGUCAUCUCAAGAAUAGGGACAUCAACGAUGCUCUUGAAAAUCACAGAAACCAGGAACAAAACAACUUAUGUGUCAAAUUCUGCAUGACUCACAUCAAGAAGAAAUGAGUAUUUAUCUCCCAUUGCUCCUUUCUUGACACAUGACAUAAAAUGGGAAAGUUCAUGGCUCUAUCUUCUCCUAAUUUUUCCCUUUAAAAUAGUUUCAAUUUUCU
rnacentral:lncRNA from 1 species